rnacentral:rRNA from 1 species
UGGGGAAUAUUGCACAAUGGAGGGAACUCUGAUGCAGCGACGCCGCGUGAACGAAGAAGGCUUUCGAGUCGUAAAGUUCUUUUAUAUGGGAAGAUAAUGACGGUACCAUAAGAAAAAGCCCCGGCUAACUACGUGCCAGCAGCCGCGGUAAUACGUAGGGGGCUAGCGUUGUCCGGAAUCACUGGGCGUAAAGGGUUCGCAGGCGGAAAUGCAAGUCAGGUGUAAAAGGCAGUAGCUUAACUACUGUAAGCAUUUGAAACUGAAUAUCUUAAGAAGAGUAGAGGUAAGUGGAAUUUUUAGUGUAGCGGUGAAAUGCGUAGAUAUUAAAAGAAUACCGGUGGCGAAGGCGACUUACUGGGCUCAUUCUGACGCUGAGGAACGAAAGCGUGGGUAGCAAACAGG